UAACGCGUGGGUAACCUGCCUCAUACAGGGGGAUAACAGUUAGAAAUGACUGCUAAUACCGCAUAAGACCACAGCACCGCAUGGUGCGGGGGUAAAAACUCCGGUGGUAUGAGAUGGACCCGCGUCUGAUUAGCUGGUUGGUAAGGUAACGGCUUACCAAGGCGACGAUCAGUAGCCGACCUGAGAGGGUGACCGGCCACAUUGGGACUGAGACACGGCCCAAACUCCUACGGGAGGCAGCAGUGGGGAAUAUUGCACAAUGGGGGAAACCCUGAUGCAGCGACGCCGCGUGAGCGAAGAAGUAUUUCGGUAUGUAAAGCUCUAUCAGCAGGGAAGAAAAUGACGGUACCUGACUAAGAAGCACCGGCUAAAUACGUGCCAGCAGCCGCGGUAAUACGUAUGGUGCAAGCGUUAUCCGGAUUUACUGGGUGUAAAGGGAGCGUAGACGGAUGGGCAAGUCUGAUGUGAAAACCCGGGGCUCAACCCCGGGACUGCAUUGGAAACUGUUCAUCUAGAGUGCUGGAGAGGUAAGUGGAAUUCCUAGUGUAGCGGUGAAAUGCGUAGAUAUUAGGAGGAACACCAGUGGCGAAGGCGGCUUGCUGGACAGUAACUGACGUUGAGGCUCGAAAGCGUGGGGAGCAAACAGGAUUAGAUACCCUGGUAGUCCACGCCGUAAACGAUGACUACUAGGUGU
rnacentral:rRNA from 1 species